UUAAUUUUCCAUCAUAUUUUAUACAAUAUUUAAUAAAAUGGUUUAUGUUUGUAUUGUAAAAUUCUGUAAUAACUCGAGAAUUGCUACCGAAAAUGAAAAUUGUAAAAUGUUUAAAAUACUAAAGAAUUUUCCUGGAUGGUUUUUUUUUUACAGAGUUUCAAAUUAAUACUGAUGUAGAAGAUACACUUAAUGUAUGUGAGGGUAAUAUCACUCCACCAAACUUACAUAUCCUCUGGAAGAUAAUUUUACUGGUAAUUCCAUAUUGGAAUAGUAUGAAAUGCAGGAUAGCCAAGCUUCCUCACCAACAA